GGGCGAACGCUGGCGGCGUGCUUACACAUGCAAGUCGAGCGGAAAGGCCCCUUCGGGGGUACUCGAGCGGCGAACGGGUGAGUAACACGUGGGCAACCUGCCCCAGAGACCGGGAUAACAGUUCGAAAGGACUGCUAAUACCGGAUGAUGUGUAUCCUGCCAAGUGGGACACACCAAAGGGUAGCUUCGGCUUCCGCUCUAGGAUGGGCCCGCGCAGCAUUAGCUUGUUGGUGAGGUAACGGCUCACCAAGGCUGCGAUGCUUAGCUGGUCUGAGAGGACGAUCAGCCACACUGGGACUGAGAUACGGCCCAGACUCCUACGGGAGGCAGCAGUGGGGAAUCUUGCGCAAUGGGCGAAAGCCUGACGCAGCAACGCCGCGUGAGCGAAGAAGGCCUUCGGGUUGUAAAGCUCUGUCAGGAGGGACGAAGCCACUCGGGUGAAUAGCCCAGAGGGUGACGGUACCUCCAGAGGAAGGUCCGGCUAACUACGUGCCAGCAGCCGCGGUAAUACGUAGGGACCAAGCGUUGUCCGGAAUUAUUGGGCGUAAAGCGCGUGUAGGCGGUUUGUUAAGUCCGAUGUGAAAUGUCGGGGCUCAACCCCGGAACUGCAUUGGAAACUGGCUGACUUGAGUCCGGAAGAGGAGACUGGAAUUCCUGGUGUAGCGGUGAAAUGCGCAGAUAUCAGGAAGAACACCCGUGGCGAA
rnacentral:rRNA from 1 species